AUGAUUCUUCGGUUCAUGAGUGUGAUGAUUGGGCAUUUAUGCCUUAUGCAUGAGGCAUGCCUCCCUCAAACCUUGUUACGACGUGGACACAUUACCCGUCUGACA